AACGAACGCUGGCGGCAUGCCUAACACAUGCAAGUCGAACGAGACCUUCGGGUCUAGUGGCGCACGGGUGCGUAACGCGUGGGAACCUGCCCUUAGGUUCGGAAUAACUCCCCGAAAGGGGUGCUAAUACCGGAUAAUGUCUUCGGACCAAAGAUUUAUCGCCUUUGGAUGGGCCCGCGUUGGAUUAGCUAGUUGGUAGGGUAAAAGCCUACCAAGGCGACGAUCCAUAGCUGGUCUGAGAGGAUGAUCAGCCACACUGGGACUGAGACACGGCCUAGACUCCUACGGGAGGCAGCAGUGGGGAAUAUUGGACAAUGGGCGAAAGCCUGAUCCAGCAAUGCCGCGUGAGUGAUGAAGGCCUUAGGGUUGUAAAGCGCUUUUACCCGGGAUGAUAAUGACAGUACCGGGAGAAUAAGCUCCGGCUAACUCCGUG
rnacentral:rRNA from 1 species